AUUGAACGCUGGCGGCGUGCUUAACACAUGCAAGUCGAGCGGUAACAGGUGUAGCAAUACAUGCUGACGAGCGGCGAACGGGUGAGUAAUGCUUCGGAAUCUUCCUAGUAGUGGGGAAUAACCUGGGGAAACUCAGGCUAAUACCGCAUACGACCUACGGGUGAAAGCAGGGGAUCGCAAGACCUUGCGCUAUUAGAUGAGCCGAAGUCGGAUUAGCUAGUUGGUGAGGUAAAGGCUCACCAAGGCGACGAUCCGUAGCUGGUCUGAGAGGACGACCAGCCACACUGGGACUGAGACACGGCCCAGACUCCUACGGGAGGCAGCAGUGGGGAAUAUUGGACAAUGGGGGCAACCCUGAUCCAGCGACGCCGCGUGUGUGAAGAAGGCCU
rnacentral:rRNA from 1 species